rnacentral:rRNA from 1 species
GGCGAAGGGGGCUAGCGUUGUUCGGAAUUACUGGGCGUAAAGCGCGUGUAGGCGGUUGUCCAAGUCGGGUGUGAAAGCCUUGAGCUCAACUCAAGAAAUGCACUCGAUACUGGGUGACUUGAGGACCGGAGAGGAUAGUGGAAUUCCCAGUGUAGUGGUGAAAUACGUAGAGAUUGGGAAGAACACCAGUGGCGAAGGCGGCUAUCUGGACGGUUUCUGACGCUAAGACGCGAAAGCGUGGGGAGCAAACAGG